rnacentral:rRNA from 1 species
GACGAACGCUGGCGGCGUGCCUAACACAUGCAAGUCGAGCGGGGAUUUAAGUGGAAGUUCUUCGGAAUGGAGAUUUAAAUUCUAGCGGCGGACGGGUGAGUAACGCGUGAACAAUCUGUCCCGGACAGGGGGAUAACACUUGGAAACAGGUGCUAAUACCGCAUAAGACCACGGCCUCGCAUGGGGCUGAGGUAAAAGGAGCAAUCCGGUUCGGGGUGAGUUCGCGUCCGAUUAGCUAGUUGGUGAGGUAACGGCCCACCAAGGCGACGAUCGGUAGCCGGCCUGAGAGGGUGAACGGCCACAUUGGAACUGAGAGACGGUCCAAACUCCUACGGGAGGCAGCAGUGGGGAAUAAUGGGCAAUGGGCGAAAGCCUGACCCAGCAACGCCGCGUGAGGGAAGAAGGUUUUCGGAUUGUAAACCUCUGUCCUAUGGGACGAAGGAAGUGACGGUACCAUAGGAGGAAGCCCCGGCUAACUACGUG